rnacentral:rRNA from 1 species
AGUGAACGCUGGCGGUAGGCCUAACACAUGCAAGUCGAACGGCAGCACAGUAAGAGCUUGCUCUUACGGGUGGCGAGUGGCGGACGGGUGAGGAAUACAUCGGAAUCUACUUUUUCGUGGGGGAUAACGUAGGGAAACUUACGCUAAUACCGCAUACGACCUACGGGUGAAAGCAGGGGAUCUUCGCACCUUGCGCGAUUGAAUGAGCCGAUGUCGGAUUAGCUAGUUGGCGGGGUAAAGGCCCACCAGGGCGACGAUCCGUAGCUGGUCUGAGAGGAUGGUCGGCCACACUGGAACUGAGACACGGUCCCGGCUCCUGCGGGAGGCAGCAGUGGGGAAUAUUGGACAAUGGGCGCAAGCCUGAUCCAGCCAUACCGCGUGGGUGAAGAAGGCCUUCGGGUUGUAAAGCCCUUUUGUUGGGAAAGAAAAGCAGCAGGUUAAUACCCCGCUGUUCUGACGGUACCCAAAGAAUAAGCACCGGCUAACUUCGUG